UUUAGUUGGUACUUUUUGUAAUAUGUGAAUUUUUUCUUUUUGAGGAAUUAUAAUCUUAUUAAAUAACAUUCAAUGGAGGUCAUUUAAAUGACACAAGGUACAGUAAAAUGGUUUAACGCAGAAAAAGGUUUCGGUUUCAUCGAAGUUGAAGGCGGUUCUGACGUAUUCGCUCACUUCUCAGCUAUCCAAGGCGAAGGUUUCAAAUCUUUAGACGAAGGUCAAAAAGUUGAAUUCGAAGUUGAAGAUGGUCAACGUGGCCCACAAGCUACAAACAUCGUAAAACUUUAAUUUUAAAGCGAACGAUUCAAAAGGCAUCCUACGGG
rnacentral:sRNA from 1 species